CGUGGUGUGGCUCAGCUUGGUAGAGCGCUUCGUUAGGGACGAAGAGGUCGCAGGUUCAAAUCCUGUCACCGCGA
rnacentral:tRNA from 1 species